UUAUUCACAGUUUUCCCACAUUUCGCUGUGAGCUGCACUUUGACGGCGCUCCACGGAAAUGAGGUUGUUGCUGUCCCUGCGAUCCCCGUGGCUCAGUAUCUGGAGUCAGCGAAACACAAGGCUGACAUUCUGCUCGAAGAGGGAAUCCCUCAGGGGUCAGGGCUGGACCACUUCUCCCACCACGGUCGCGUACGCUGGUCAGCACUGUGACAUGUCAGAGGAAAAAGGAGAUGCUUGUGUGCACCGGCCACAGUCAGCCACGACAGAGGUAAGUAGGGAUGGUGGCAGUGUGACCCAGCUGGGUAAGUGACCCGUCAGGUGACCAUAGUCAUAAGUCUAGGGUGCGAGGUACAAAUGCCAGAGGCACUGAGCCAAGUUGCCAACAGAACCUUAACGACGCCUCCUUGUGGCGGUGAAGUGGUGUCUUUCAGCUUGAUGUGACCGUCACGGAUGGCCGCUUGGAGAAGAGUGACCACACGCCCCGUCUCGUGAGUAGUCUGGGGAUGCGCGCUCCAUCUGGAAUGUUCCCCAGGAGCAUGUUUUCCGACACGGGGAAGGACGGAAGGAGGAAGUGACUGGGGAUGCGAGGGAUGUCUGUGGAGCCUGUGGUACGGAGCGUGGGAGUUCUCCCUCUCCGGGUGUGUGACACACAUAGGCGCGCACACCCACCCACCCAGCUGUUUUCAGCCAAAAGAA